UUAAAAUUGAUUACUUUGGCAGAUUAGUGCAAUGAAUUUAGAAUUCGUGUAUGUAAAUUAUAUUACAGGUAAUAC
rnacentral:tRNA from 1 species